AUAUAUUACAUAGCUAAAUAUGUUUAAUGUCAGCUUCCCAGGUCUACAUCUUUCGUGGGUGUCCGCGAUACGAAUUUGACACAGAUGAGUUAUUCGGACAUCUCCGCGACACGGCUGAUAAAUGCGAAAGUAGGAAACAAGUUCGGCUUAUUCCGCCAAACCGUUCGGAGUGAUAAAUAGGGAAAACACGAAGACACGUGUUAGCGAGUCAUAUAUUAAUGACGUUUUAUGUAUCCCGUGACACCACGACACGAAAAUUAAUUCUGUGUCCUUAAUGCAUGACCAAAGAGGGAAGCACCAGGUGUUCUAGAAUCGAUGAACAAAGGUCAGGUCGGAGGUCAAAGGUCAAGUAUCAAACAGGUGGACUGCUCAGGUUCAAGCACCUUCUCCCAGUCAUAAAUCUCUGACUUCUCCAUCGACUGGGUCCGGCACAGGCACAGAAUCGGUCUGGUUGUGAAACCUCUCUAUUAAUUGAGCCACAUCUCACCACCACCAGGAGAAAUGAAGUGGAACGAAUGGUUAACAACAAACAAGUCAGCCAGGUGAUUACACCCUCCAUUAGAAAGAACCACAAGUCUUUACAACUGACAGACAUGGUAAACACAGAUAAAUUAUCUCACAAAACCUU